rnacentral:lncRNA from 1 species
UGUCUUGUUUUGUUUUGUUUUGUUUUGUUUUUCAAGACAGAGUUUCUCUGUGUAGCCCUGGCUGUCCUGGUACUCACUCUGUAGACCAGGCUGGCCUCAAACUCAGAAACCUGCCUGCCUUUGCCUCUCAAGUGCUAGGAUCAAAGGUGUGCGCCAUCACUGCCCAGCUAUAUGCGUCUUUUAUCCAGGAACUAAAUGGUCACAGACGGGAUAGAAAGCCCCACAUUAGGAUUUAAAAUGUCUACAAUACUUUAAGCAUAUCCCUGACUAGCAUACAAAUCAAUGAGACUCAAACUAUGGUUAUUUUUACUUGGCUUUGACAAUUACUGGGGGGUAACCCGUAAUCUACUCUUCCAACUGGUGGCUUGGCCACCUCCCCAAUGGUGUAUCCCAGAUACUUGCUGGGUUGUUUUGUUUUGUUUUCUGGCCUUGGUACCACUUAGCACUCUGGUGCAAAGCAGUUUAUUUCCGAGUGGAACAGCUGAAAGCUUUCUGGGCCUCUGCCUCUCUGUUUCCUUCUGCAGAUUUUAGCUCCUCGUUGCACAUGGCACGUACCAUCAGCACGCGCUCCCAAGCAAAGGGACAGUGUGCACUAUUUUUAUUUCCUUCUUGCUGGCCAGUUGGUCCCUCUGUGGAGCACCUGUCACUCAGCAUUGCUUCCUAGGUGUAGGGGUGAGUUUAGCUACACCUGUUUGGCUCCUGGCUGGUUGAAUGUGCGUACCUGCCCAAGAGCUAUUUGGAUUCUCAAAUAAAAGACUCAUGCGUGAUCACCAGCCAGUCAAUAUUAAUGUGCCUUGACUUGCUCAAAGGCUGGGCAGUUCUACUCCUCUGACCAGCUAGCAUAGAUUUCCCUCCAGUAUUCCUGGCUCCUAAACCUUCCCCUGCUACCCCAGGCCCAAUUUAGGAAGUGGCCAGUAGCUGUUGGUUCUUUAUUGAUUGAUAAAAAAACAAUCGGGGACAAGAACCUUCAGGGUUUGGACAUACAGAUUCCAGAAUUUGGAGGUUGAAUCAGUUCAAAGCCAUAGAACUCACACAUACACACACACACAUACACACACACACACACACACACCCCUGACACCUAGGGACUUUUAGGAACCAUAGUUUAGAAUGCUUGGGCAGAAAGAGAUUUCUUAAUUCCAACGUGUUACCUCUUUCUCCUUCACCUUCUGUAGCCCAGGCAUCUUAUGUCUUCCUAAGCAUGGAAGGGGACUUCAUGAAGCCUGCCAUCGACGUUGUGGAUAAGUUGCUGGCAGCUGGGGUCAAUGUGACCGUGUACAACGGACAGCUGGAUCUCAUUGUGGACACCAUAGGUAGGAACCAAACUCUGGGGGACACACGGUAGCAAUCAGGGGACAAGCCAAAAGGAAAUGGCCCAGGAUGCAUAGGCCUUGGGAUUGGUGGAAUUCGUGCCUGGAGGAAUACCAUUUCCUGUCACAUGCAUCCACUCCUGACUUGGACUCUUGAGCUGUGAUGCAUGAGAGAACUCUGGGUCUUUCCAAUUCUCGGGUACCUGGAUAUGUU